rnacentral:sRNA from 1 species
UCCGUAGGUGAACCUGCGGAAGGAUCAUUAUCGUGCAACCGAGGUGCAAGGGCUGUCGCUGACCUUUUAAGGGUUGUGCACGCUCGAACACACUCUCACAUCCAUCUCACCCUUUUGUGCAUCACCGCGCGGGCCCUCCUUUGCAGGAGGGCUUGUGUUUUCACAUAAAACUCGAUACUGUGUAGGAUGUAUUUUCCAUUUGCGGACACACGCAAUCAAUACAACUUUCAACAACGGAUCUCUUGGCUCUCGCAUCGAUGAAGAACGCAGCGAAAUGCGAUACGUAAUGUGAAUUGCAGAAUUCAGUGAAUCAUCGAAUCUUUGAACGCACCUUGCGCCCCUUGGCACUCCGAGGGGCACACCCGUUUGAGUGUCGUGAAAUCAUCAAAAACCUUUUUUUCUCCUUUGAACCUUUUUGGUCAGGGAAAAGGAUUUUUGGACUUGGAGGUCUCAUGCUUGCUUUUCACCUUUGAAAGCGAGCUCCUCUCAAAUGAAUUAGUGGGGUCUGCUUUGCUGAUCCUUGACGUGAUAAGAUGUUUCUACGUUUUGGAUUUAGCACUGUCCAUUGGACACCUGCUCCUAAUCGUCCCUUGGGACGUUGAUGGUGCUUCGGUCACCGCCAUCUACGUUGGUGGAAGGCUGAGCCCACACAAAACCCUUGACCUCAAAUCGGGUGAGACUACCCGCUGAACUUAAGCAUAUCAAUAAGCGGAGGA